rnacentral:rRNA from 1 species
UACGGAGGGGGCUAGCGUUGUUCGGAAUUACUGGGCGUAAAGCGCACGUAGGCGGCUUGGUAAGUUAGAGGUGAAAGCCUGGAGCUCAACUCCAGAAUUGCCUUUAAGACUGCCGAGCUAGCAGGUGAGAGAGGUGAGUGGAAUUCCGAGUGUAGAGGUGAAAUUCGUAGAUAUUCGGAAGAACACCAGUGGCGAAGGCGGUUCUCUGGGCCUUACCUGACGCUGAGGAGCGAAAGCGUGGGGAGCGAACAGG